rnacentral:rRNA from 1 species
GAUGAACGCUGGCGGCGUGCCUAAUACAUACAAGUCGAGCGAACAGACGAGGAGCUUGCUCCUCUGACGUUAGCGGCGGACGGGUGAGUAACACGUGGAUAACCUACCUAUAAGACUGGGAUAACUUCGGGAAACCGGAGCUAAUACCGGAUAAUAUAUUGAACCGCAUGGUUCAAUAGUGAAAGACGGUUUUGCUGUCACUUAUAGAUGGAUCCGCGCCGCAUUAGCUAGUUGGUAAGGUAACGGCUUACCAAGGCGACGAUGCGUAGCCGACCUGAGAGGGUGAUCGGCCACACUGGAACUGAGACACGGUCCAGACUCCUACGGGAGGCAGCAGUAGGGAAUCUUCCGCAAUGGGCGAAAGCCUGACGGAGCAACGCCGCGUGAGUGAUGAAGGUCUUCGGAUCGUAAAACUCUGUAAUUAGGGAAGAACAAAUGUGUAAGUAACUAUGCACGUCUUGACGGUACCUAAUCAGAAAGCCACGGCUAACUACGUG